CCACCUUGUGUGCAAUGUCAGUCGUUCUCUUCUAUGGGAACGACCAAACAUCAACCAACUCUUUAACUCUUUGUCUGAAAAAUAUUACGAAUAAAAUAAUUCAAAAUACAACUUUCAACAACGGAUCUCUUGGCUCUCGCAUCGAUGAAGAACGCAGCGAAAUGCGAUACGUAAUGUGAAUUGCAGAAUUCAGUGAAUCAUCGAAUCUUUGAACGCAUAUUGCGCUCUUUAGUAUUCCGAAGAGCAUGCUUGUUUGAGUAUCAGUAAACACCUCAAAUCCUUCAAUUUGUUUUGAAGGCUUUGGACUUGAGCAAUCCCAACACCAGUCUUUACGAUCGGUGGAGGGUUGCUUGAAAUGCAGGUGCAGCUGGACAUUCUCCUGAGCUAUAAGCAUAUUUAUUUAGUCCCGUCAAACGGAUUAUUACUUUUGCUGCAGCUAACAUAAAGGGAGUCAGACCAUAUUGGCUGACUGAUGCAGGAUUUCACAAGGGUCGGCAACGAUUCUUGUAAAACUCGAUCUCAAAUCAAGUAAGACUACCCGCUGAACUUAAGCAUAUCAAUAAGCGGAGGAAAAGAAACUAACAAGGAUUCCCCUAGUAACGGCGAGUGAAGCGGGAUGAGCUCAAAUUUAAAAUCUGGCUGGUUUACUAGUCCGAACUGUAGUUUAUAGAAGCGUUUUCGGUGGCAGCCUGGGUAU
rnacentral:rRNA from 1 species